UUUUUUUCCCAAUAACAUGAUUCACCUCCUCUAUUGUAUUAAAUAAAUUUUAACACGUGAUCUAAAUUUAACGAUGAAAAAUUUUUAACAAUCCCCUUUACAUUCCCUAACAAUUUAUUUCUUUUAUGAACCCUAUAAACAUACAAUUAACCUAUUGAGACCUAAAUAAACCCGCAUAUAUAUAUAAAAAAAUCCCUUUAAACCGUAAUUACUCCAAAUAAUUGACUUAAAUUGGAUAAAGAAAAAUAUUUUUGGUCUACUUCCCCUACUGGUACAAUGUUUUUAAGGAAAUCCAUCAAAAUAGAACAUCUGUACAUUUCAACUGA